rnacentral:rRNA from 4 species
CCACCUGACCCCAUGCCGAACUCAGAAGUGAAACGCCGUAGCGCCGAUGGUAGUGUGGGGUCUCCCCAUGUGAGAGUAGGGAACUGCCAGGCA